rnacentral:piRNA from 1 species
GCCAGUUUUCAACCUUGGUAUAUAAGCCCA